GUAACCCGAACUUUUUUUUUUUUUAUGUCUCUAAUUAUAGCGCACUCCUGACACACAAAUGAUUACUAGAGACUUUUUAGCCCCCCAGGGUGUUAUUUUCCCAUGAAUAAAAGAAGAAAACUACUCUUACAAGCAUAUGACAUGUUCUUGUGCCUUCACUUGAUGAUGCCUUGCAAAUUAUUUUGUAGGCUUCUCCAGCUUGAUACUUGGGGAAAAUGAGUGAUCCCUCCGAUGCUGUGAUGCCGCUCUGCGGGCAGUGGCUGGUGCAGUAAGAUGUGACCUACAAAAACGUCAGGGAAAGCCUCCCCCAACAUCUGAAGUUUAUUCGGGCCUGACCCCAGCGGAUGGCCCGAGAGAGGGAUUAGGGCCCGAUUCGCCUAAUUAGCCCCACGACCCCUUCACCAGCCCCCUGCACACCGCCCGUGACUCGCUCACUUCAUUAGCGACGCCUGCCCUCGUCACAAAAAAUGGGAAGAAUAGCAAAGGAACAACAAGGCCGACCAUUCCAAGUCUUCUAAAAUAAGCUCCCGUCACCAACCCCUUCCAUAUGCCCGUCUCGUCAGCGACCGCCUGCCCCCCCCCGUUGACAGCAGGCAGCACGAGAGACCACCAAAAAGCAGUUUGUGUAACCGACACAAAAACAUCGAGUGACGGUGGCAACUUUUGAGAGCAAUUUAUUCGAUGCCUGGCGGGGGGGUCCUCGGUUUAAGACGGAGCUUCAUUCCUACAGAGGUGAGCGACAUCAACCGAAUGUGCACGUUUGUCAUAUUCCAGUGGUUGUCAUCUCAAAAAAUAAGUCACUCUCCAAGCACCGCUAAAAUGACCAACUUUAAAAUAACAUCAUAGACCAAUUUGGUCUUCAAUCAAAUGUUUAGUUUUUUUUUUUUUUUAAUUCUUAAAAAGUCCAUUUAUCAUCGUUUCCCGUUGUAACAUUGUACAAUUGUUUUUAAUCGUAAUGAAAUGCCGAUUCCUUUCAAACGAAUUGUCCAUAAGCGCCACAAAUGGCAGCGUAUAAACGUACGGAAUUGCAUAUCCACAGAUGGCGAUCAGGCGUCUUCCAAAUGUGGAUUGAAAUCCGAUACACAUAUGGGAUAUCUGCCAAUGCCUGUGCAGCAUAAACGCACAGACGGCAUCUUGCCGCCAUUGCCAGCGUGACCUCAGCGGUGACUUCGACAACCCACAUUUCUACCCGAACCCCACAAAUAAACGUUUUUAAAAGCACCUGCGGCAAAAGCACGAACCAUUAAACACGGUCCAAAGAUGCUCAUUUAGAGGCACGUAGCAUAUUCAUUGUUCACAGAAACCCCCGCUUAUUUCUGUUAACAUGUUCGUUAAUGUAUUCACUGUUUAUAAUGAGCACCAAUUAUCAGCAAAAUUUUUUUGAUUGACAGUCAG